GACAGAGGCCUCAAGCGUUAGGCGGAAUCACUGGGCUUAAAGCGUGUGUAGGCGGAUCGUUAAGUGUCUUGUGAAAUCCCACGGCUCACCCGUGGAACUGCUGGGCAUACUGGCGAUCUUGGGCCAACUAGGGGCAACUGGAACAAGCGGUGGAGCGGUGAAAUGCGUAGAUAUCGCUUGGAACGCCAACGGUGAAAACAGGUUGCUGGGGUUGUGCCGACGCUGGAGACACGAAGCCAGGGAGCGAAACGGG
rnacentral:rRNA from 1 species